rnacentral:rRNA from 1 species
CCUACGGGGGGCAGCAGUGGGGAAUAUUGGACAAUGGGCGCAACCUGAUCCAGCCAUGCCGCGUGAGUGAUGAAGGCCUUAGGGUUGUAAAGCUCUUUCGCCAGGGACGCGGUACCUGGAUAAGAAGCCCCGGCUAACUUCGUGCCAGCAGCCGCGGUAAUACGAAGGGGGCUAGCGUUGUUCGGAAUUACUGGGCGUAAAGCGUAUGCAGGCGGAUUGUUAAGUCAGGGGUGAAAUCCCGAGGCUCAACUCGGAACUGCCUUUGAUACUGGCAAUCUUGAGUCCGGGAGAGGUUAGUGGAACUGCGAGUGUAGAGGUGAAAUUCGUAGAUAUUCGCAAGAACACCAGUGGCGAAGGCGGCUAACUGGCCGGACUGACGCUGAGAUACGAAACGUGGGGAGCAAACAGGAUUAGAUACCCUUGUAGUC